rnacentral:rRNA from 1 species
GCAGCUUUACACAUGCAAGUCCAACGGUAACAGGCUAGCUUGCUAGUGCUGACGAGUGGCGGACGGGUGAGUAACGCGUAGGAAUCUACCCAGUUGUGGGGGAUAGCCCGGAGAAAUCCGGAUUAAUACCGCAUACGCCCUACGGGGGAAAACAGGGGAUCUUCGGACCUUGUGCAAUUGGAUGAGCCUGCGUUAGAUUAGCUGGUUGGUGGGGUAAAGGCCUACCAAGGCGACGAUCUAUAGCUGGUCUGAGAGGAUGAUCAGCCACAUCGGGACUGAGACACGGCCCGGACUCCUACGGGAGGCAGCAGUGGGGAAUAUUGGACAAUGGGCGCAAGCCUGAUCCAGCAAUGCCGCGUGUGUGAAGAAGGCCUUCGGGUUGUAAAGCACUUUCAAUUGUGAAGAAGGGGUUAGUAUUAAUACUGCUGACCUUUGACGUUAACUUUAGAAGAAGCACCGGCUAACUCCGUGCCAGCAGCCGCGGUAAUACGGAGGGUGCAAGCGUUAAUCGGAAUUACUGGGCGUAAAGCGCGCGUAGGCGGUUGUUUAAGUCAGAUGUGAAAGCCCCGGGCUCAACCUGGGAAUGGCCUCUGAUACUGGAUAACUAGAGUUUGGGAGAGGGGAGUAGAAUUUCAGGUGUAGCGGUGAAAUGCAUAGAUAUCUGAAGGAAUACCAGUGGCGAAGGCGACUCCCUGGCCUAAAACUGACGCUGAGGUGCGA